GUAGGAACUUGGAGCCUAAAUAAUAUUUGUCUACUUACUUCUUGAUAGGUCACAUACUUUUUUAAGUCAACUGUAACAGGACUACAUAUUGUUCCUCUAAGACUCCAAAAGUUCUUUAGACACUGUUCAGUGUGAGCCAUUUUUCUCAGGAAGAAGUAUUCCUAAUCCAAAUAAGAUAGAAAGAUAACUAUGCUGUAGUUACAAACAGCUGCAAAUCUCAGUGGUCUGACACAAACAAGGUUUUGACUCUCAUUUAUACAGUAUGCUUCUUUGAUCACUGCCACAGGAGGAAGGGGAUGUGGUGAAUUACCUAUUGGUAAUGGGCUCUUACUGAGUAUAUUCCAUUGCCAAAGCAAGUCACAUAGGCAUACCUAAUUGGAAAGUGGGUGGGGAAGGGCAGUCCUUUCAGCUGAAGGCCAUCCUUCCACCUGCAUGGCAGGACAGGAGAACUGUACCAAUUAUGAGCAUCGCUAUAUGCUAUCUUCAAACUGAGAAAAAUACAGAGACAGAAAGAAAUUAUCUUAGUAAUCAAUUAUUCUGUUUCAAAACUUCCUAGAACGUAUAUUUCAUUUAAAAUAUUGGACUCUCAGACUCAACAUGUCUAAAGGUACACAACAAACUGCCUGUGUGUGGAGUGGUUAUUGAGCACAUUCUCGAGCCAACAUGUUGGUCUUUCACUUACUAGAUGGAUGACCUUAGGUAUUUUGAUUAACAUCUCUGUGCCUCAGUUUCCUCAUCACUCAAAUAGUCUGAAUAAUAGUAACUAGUUUAUAAGAUCAUUGUGAGAAUUCAAGGAGGGCUGAGUGAGUCCAGGUCCUGGCACAGAGUGGGGUCUCAGUACAGGUUAAUUAUUAUUUUUGCAUUGUUUUAUUGUCCAUUUUUGCAUCCCCUCAAUCCACCUACUUAGAAUCUUGAUGUCAUUUUCAUCUCUUAGAAGCUUGUCCUUUACCCCCUGUGGUUAUCAACACCCCUAAGUUAUACCUUUAAUGUAGGCAAACUAGUCACCUAUGAGUUAAGAACAGAUUUUUGUAUUUUUAAAGGAUUGUAAAAAAAACAACAACAAAAAUAAUCGUGACAUAAACCCCAAAAUAUUCACUAUAUGUCUCUGUAUACAAAAAGUUUGCCAACCUUUACUCUAAAGUAUCCUUGAUAGCCUUUGCCUCUCAUGACUAACAACUACCUUUAUUCCAUUGCCGUCUUACUCUUCUGGCCUUGGUUCACUUCCCAAUUGCAUACUUAACCCAGCUACUAUACCUUAGAUUUCUGCCUGGAGGACAAGUGGCACAUUUUUGACUUAAUUUUAUCCCUCAGUUAAUUUAGCGGUAAUAAAUAUUUCCUGAAUUUCUUCUGAUAGUCAGAUUGAGUUAGUUGAU
rnacentral:lncRNA from 1 species